rnacentral:rRNA from 1 species
UACGUAGGCAGCAAGCGUUGUUCGGAAUUACUGGGCGUAAAGAGUGUGUAGGCGGUGCUCCAAGUCUGGUGUGAAAUCUCCCGGCUCAACUGGGAGGGUGCGCUAGAAACUGGAAUGCUAGAGGAUGGGAGAGGUAAGCGGAAUUCCUGGUGUAGCGGUGAAAUGCGUAGAUAUCAGGAGGAACACCGGUGGCGAAGGCGGGUCUCUGGGCCGAUACUGACGCUGAGGAGCGAAAGCGUGGGGAGCGAACAGG